UGAGUGGGCUAGAUUAGAGAUUGGCCCCUCAGAUGAAUGAUGACAAGGGCCUGUUAUGUCUCUAACCGCAGAAGAUAAAAGUAAGAUUAUUAUUGAGUUUGGGAGUAACGCC
rfam:Clunio marinus genome assembly, contig: CLTMA_scaffold_001776